AGUAAGAUUGUGAUGGUUGGCAGCGAGGGUGAGGGAGGGGGGCGGACCCUGCUGGUCCUGGCACUGCUGCUGGCCCUCACAGCUCCUGCUGCUGCUGUACACUUGUCCUGGUGUAGUGAUGAGUGGUGAGGCUGGGCAUGAGGAGGUGAUGACGGGGGUUGAUGGUGGCCGUGAGGCACCACCUCCACCACACUAUGCAUGCUUUGGUGCAAGACACAUUUUGGCUUUGAUGGGUUUCGUGGGCUUUGCUAAUGUGUAUGCCAUGCGAGUUAACUUGUCUGUAGCCAUUGUUGCUAUGGUUAACAAUACAGCUAUUCCACAUACAAAUAUCACUGAAGUAGAUGUGUGUCAGACUCCUGUUGACAACUCCACUCAAGUUUCUGAGGAUGGUGAAUUCAUAUGGAAUGAAUAUGAACAAGGAAUGAUCUUGGGAUCUUUCUUCUGGGGCUACAUAUUGACUAAUAUACUUGGAGGACGAUUAGGAGAAUUAAUAGGUGGCAAAAUUGUGUUUGGUGUUGGUGUUCUUAUCACAUCUGUAUUGACCAUCCUAACACCAGUGGUGGCACGAACAAGCACGCCAUUACUUAUUGCCCUUCGUGUAGUGGAAGGUUUAGGCGAGGGUGUAACUUUCCCAGCGAUGAACUCACUGAUGGCCAAGUGGGUUCCUCCCCUCGAACGAAGCAAGAUGAGUUCCCUUGUAUAUGCUGGAGCUCAGUUUGGGACUGUGAUAUCACUUCCAAUCUCUGGUUUAUUAUGUCAGUCAUCUUUCCUUGGGGGCUGGCCAGCAGUCUUCUAUGUGUUUGGUGUGCUGGGACUACUUUGGUUCUUACUCUGGAUGCUUCUGAUCCAUAACACUCCUGAGUCACAUCCCAGGAUAUCCUUGGAAGAGAAGAUUUACAUUCAGACAUCACUUGACCAGACAACAAGCAACACAAAAGUUGCAGCCAUUCCGUGGCGGCAUAUUCUAAGAUCUCUGCCAUUCUGGGCCAUCUUUGUGGUGCAUAUAGCACAAAACUGGGGGUUCUACACUCUGCUAACUGAGCUGCCUACAUAUAUGAAGAACAUUUUGCAUUUUAAUAUAGCUCAUGAUAGUUUUGUAUCCGCUUUGCCCUAUCUGUUGAUGUGGGUGUUCAGUGUUGUUGCAGGACAGGUUGCCGACUACUUCAGGGCACGAGGCACCCUCUCUACCACAGCUACCCGCAGAAUCUUCAAUAGUAUUGGCAUUUAUGGUCCAAUGGUUUGCAUCAUCCUGACUGGCUAUGCUGGCUGUAACAAAAAUAUAGCAGUUGCCUUACUUUGUGGAGCUGUAGGCCUCAAUGGAGCUGUGUAUUCUGGCUACAUGAACUCUCACCUGGAUAUUGCUCCCAACUUUGCUGGUACACUUAUGGGCAUCACCAACACUGCUGCUACCAUCCCAGGGUUCUUGGCUCCUCAGCUGGUUGGAUAUCUCACUAAUGGAAAGGACUCGGGGUCGAAGGUGUCACUGACCCAGCAGGAACCAUGACAGAGACAGAAUGACCAUCGGCGUGUAGCAAGGUGAACUUGAUGGGUUGGUACACGAUGAGCCACACUGCAGACCUGAACGAGAGUUACAAAGGCCUGAAGACGAGUAACUAAGCAAGACACCCAGGCACUAAGGUUACUUAAUGAAAGAAGAGACACUUCAAUGCAGCCUAGGGAUAAAGCUGGCUACGGAAGGAAACUGUGGGACAGUGGAAGUUAAUAUUUUGGAUAGCUGGCAUAGUGUACUUUGUAGGAAACACAUUUUACGUAAUAUUUGUGUCUGGAGAAGAACAGUAUUGGAAUGAUAUUGACAAAGCACAUGG
rnacentral:misc_RNA from 1 species